UAGCGUAGGGCGCAAGCGUUAUCCGGAAUUACUGGGCGUAAAGAGCUCGUAGGUGGUUUGUCGCGGUUGUUCGUGAAAACUCACAACUCAAUUGUGGGCGUGCGGGCGAUACGGGCAGACUGGAGUACUGCAGGGGAGACUGGAAAUUCCUGGUGUAGCGGUGGAAUGCGCAGAUAUCAGGAGGAACACCGGUGGCGAAGGCGGUUCUC
rnacentral:rRNA from 1 species